CCACCAUGAGGUGGCUGUGUAAACGUUGUAGCUUUGCCUCAAAUAAAAGGGUUGAUAUUUUCAAGCACUACAGACUCAAACAUGGAAACAGUGGCCUUACUCAGUCCAUACCUUGCCUAUAUUCUAAUUGUCCUUGUUCAUUUAAGACGUUUAAUGCUCUCAAGCUCCAUCUAUCCCGUCAUCAUGUGGAAUCAGUUGCACCACCAAAGGUGGUAGUUUCGUUCAGUUGUCAGCGCUGCAGUUUAGUGUCCUUCUCUUCAGAGAAACAGUAUUUUGAACAUUUACACAGUCAUCUGAAGAGGUUUGAAAUUGUUCAGUGUGUGUUCAAAAACUGUAACUUCAGUACAAACAUCUAUUCAACCUUUUGUACUCAUAAGCACAGAAAACAUGGCACACACCAGCACUCGCAUGAAGACUUUAGACCUGAGCUCCUGAAAACACAUUCAGAUACUCCUAUCAUCCAGCAUGAUCCAGUGAUUUCUGAAGUGGAUACAGAGGUUUUUGUUGAACCAUGUGAGGAUUUGUCUGAAGUUAUACAGGAUAGACUUGGACUGCUCUUUCUAAAGUUGGAGAGUUGUUACAAUGUGCCGAACAAGUGCAUUGAUGAAAUUGUAGAUGAGUUACAGUUCAUAUCCUGCUCCUCAUCUGGACCGGUUUUGAGACAUGUUGUCGAGUCAACCUUCAAGAAACACAACUGUGAAUUGGAUUCAGUUCUGUUAGGCGAUUUGGUGAGCAACUUGUGUGAGUCACACCCUAUUAGUUCAGCUUUAAGGAAAGAUGGUCCUUUUACUACAUCAUAUAGGAGGAGGGAAUAUAUGAAGUCACGUUUUCCAGUUGUGGAACCGAAAGAAUACAUUCUGAACAAGAAGGAAAAUAAAACAUUCCAGUAUAUUCCUAUACUGCAGUCCUUGUCACAGAUACUUAAGAAUUCUCCAGAAAAGCAUCUAGUUUGUACAAGGAGCUCAGACAGUGUGUUAAAAUAUCAGUCAUUUCAAGAUGGGUCUCAUUUUCAGAAAAAUGAUUUUUUCGCUGCUGAUGAGGAUAGAUUGAGUCUUAUCCUGUACAUCGAUGACUUUGAGAUCUGCAACCCCCUGGGAACAUCCCGUAAGAUUCACAAAGUCACUGCUGUGUAUUGGGUGUUAGGCAACAUCCCAGCACAUGCAAGAUCGUCAUUGACAAGUAUAUACUUAGCCAUUCUCUGUAAGGCCAGUGACACCAAACAGUUUGGAUUUCAGGCAGUGCUAGAGCCACUAUUGCGGGAUCUUCAAAGCUUAGAGAAAGAUGGUCUUUUUAUUCCAAGUUUUGGGAAAGUGAUCAAAGGCACUGUGGUGAGCGUAGUGGCUGACAAUUUGGGUGCUCAUGCUGUGGCAGGAUUUGUUGAAAGUUUCACAGGACCUCAUGUCUGUCGAUUUUGUCUGGGAGAGCGCUCUAUGUUUCAGACAACAGAGGUGAGAUCAGGAGUUUUUCAGCGAAGAAGUCAAGAGCAGCACACCAUGCAUGUUCAGACAGCUUUAUCAAGUCCUUCUCUUAGUCCAUGCUACGGGGUGAAAAAUCAGUGUGCACUGUCUGAAAAGCUGUGUUAUUUUGAUGUGACAUCUGGUUACCCUCCUGAUGUCCUACAUGACCUUCUUGAGGGUGUUGUUCCCCUAGAGCUGGCAUUGUCACUGAAUUCGUUCAUCAAGAACAAGUAUUUUUCCUUGGUGGAAUUCAAUAACUUACUUGCUCAGUUCCCUUACAAGUGGACUGACCGAACAAACCGCCCACAUUUGGUCCCCACUAAUUUUGCUGCAAAAAGAUCAGUAGGGGGGAAUGCCCAUGAAAAUUGGUGUCUGCUGCGUCUUUUGCCUUUUUUGAUUGGGUUGAGAGUACCUGAGAGUGAUCCAGUAUGGCAGGUGUUAAUGGUUCUGAAGGAUAUAGUGGAGCUAGUCAUGUCCCCAGCUCACACAGAGGAAAGCAUCUGCUACUUGGACACAAAGAUCGCCGAACACCGGCAAAGAUUUCUGGAUGUGUUCCCCCAAGACAAACUAAUUCCCAAACACCACUUCAUUGAGCAUUAUCCUGAGCUCAUAAGGGAAUUUGGACCAUUGUCUGCCUUGUGGACAAUGCGAUUUGAAGCGAAGCACAGCUUUUUCAAAAAAAUUGUCAGACAAACUGGCUCUUUUAAGAACAUACUGUUGUCCCUCGCCAAUAGACACCAACUCAUGGUUGCACUGUGUCUCCAUGACAACAGUGUACUCAAACAAUCUGUGUCUGUUACAAAAACAUCACAAGUGUCAUUAGAUGUACUAAAUGAGGCCAUUAAAGACUUGUUGCUGCGCAAGUAUCCAAACGUCACAAUGGUCCAUGUCUCAAACAAGGUGGCCAUCUCGGGUACAAGCUAUGCGCCAGGAAUGUUGCUGUCUUACGGUUCAACUGCAGGUUUGCCUGACUUUGCUGAAGUUUGUCAGAUCAUCUUGGUUUUUGAUAGCAUAUUGUUUGUUGUCAAACUACUAAAUGGAUGGUACAACGAGCACCUCAGGAGCUAUGAGCUAGACUACACAGGCAACAACCAAAUAAUUGAGCCCAAAGAACUACUUGAUUUCUAUCCACUGGCUAUGUACACUAUCGCAGGACGACGAGUUGUUACCUUAAAACACCACAUCAACACUCUCUUUUAAAUAAGCAAUGGAAUUUGGAAUGGAUUUUUUUUUUGUCAAUGAACUAAA
rnacentral:lncRNA from 1 species